AGCUCUGAGAGAGGAGCCUUAGCCUUGGGAUUCCAAGGCAUUUCCACUUGGGGAUCAGCCCGGAACACAGAGGACUCACCAUGGAGUUGGGGCUGAGCUGGGUUUUCCUUGUUGCUAUUUUAGAAGGUGUCCAGUGUGAGGUGCAGCUGGCGGAGUCUGGGGGAGGCUUGGUCCAGCCUGGGGGGUCCCUGAGACUCUCCUGUGCAGCCUCUGGAUUCACCAUUAGCAGCUACUGGAUGAGCUGGGUCUGCCAGGCUCCGGGAAAGGGGCUGGAGUGGCUUUCAGACAUUUAUGGUAGUACCAUGUACUACGGAGACUCUGUGAAGGGCCUAUUCACCGUCUCCAGAGACAAUGCCAAGAACUCGCUGUAUCUGCAAAUGAACAGUCUGAGAGCCGAGGACACGGCCGUGUAUUACUGUACUAGAGACACAGUGAGGCGAGGUCAGUGUGAGCCCAGACACAAACCCCCCUGCAGGGGUCCCCGUGACCACCAGGGGGCGCCCAGACACAAACCUCCCUGCAGGGGUCCCCGUGACCACCAGGGGGCGCCCGGGACACAAACCCCCCUGCAGGGGUCCCCGUGA